rnacentral:rRNA from 1 species
UACGAGGGAUGCAAGCGUUAUCCGGAAUUAUUGGGCGUAAAGCGUUUGUAGGCGGGCGAGUGUGUUUAAUGUUAAAUCUUAAAGCUCAACUUUGAAAUUGCGUUAAAAACUGCUUGUCUUGAGUAUGGUAGGGGUAAAGGGAAUUCCCAGUGCAGCGGUGAAAUGCGUAGAUAUUGGGAAGAACACUAAACAGCGAAGGCACUUUACUAGGCUAAUACUGACGCUGAGAAACGAAAGGUAAGGUAGCGAAACGGAUUAGAUACCCGUGUAGUCUUACCCGUAAACUAUGGACACUAAACGGUAAAUUUUUAAUUUACUGUUAAAGCUAACGCGUUAAGUGUCCCGCCUGGGGAGUAUGCUUGCAAAAGUGAAACUCAAAGGAAUUGACGGGGGCCCGCACAAGCGGUGGAGCAUGUGGUUUAAUUCGACGGUACACGAAGAACCUUACCAGGAUUUGACAUGCUAGAUAGUUGCUUGAAAGAGUAACGUGCCGUAAGGAAUCUAGACACAGGUGGUGCAUGGCUGUCGUCAGUUCGUGUUGUGAAAUGUUGGGUUAAGUCCCGCAACGAACGCAACCCUUGUCUUUAGUUAUUUUCUAAAGAGACUGCCUGUAAUAAACAGGAGGAAGGUAAGGAUGAGGUCAAGUCAUCAUGCCCCUUAUGUCCUGGGCUACACACGUGCUACAAUGGGAAAGACAAUGAGCUGCAAAUCUGUAAAUUUAAGCAAAUCUCUUAAACUUUCUCGUAGUUCGGAUUGUGGGCUGCGACUCGCCCACAUGAAGUUGGAAUCGCUAGUAAUCGCCAGUCAGCUAUAUGGCGGUGAAUCCGUUCCCGGGCCU